rnacentral:rRNA from 1 species
GACGAACGCUGGCGGCGUGCUUAACACAUGCAAGUCGAACGGAAAGGCCCUGCUUUUGUGGGGUGCUCGAGUGGCGAACGGGUGAGUAACACGUGAGUAACCUGCCCUUGACUUUGGGAUAACCUCAGGAAACUGGGGCUAAUACCGGAUAGGAGCUCCUGCUGCAUGGUGGGGGUUGGAAAGUUUCGGCGGUUGGGGAUGGACUCGCGGCUUAUCAGCUUGUUGGUGGGGUAGUGGCUUACCAUGGCUUUGACGGGUAGCAGGCCUGCGAGGGUGACCGGCCACGUUGGAACUGAGAUACGACCCAGACUCCAACGGGAGGCAGCAGUGGGGUAUAUUGCACAAUGGGCGGAGGCCUAGUGCAGCAACGCCGCGUGCGGGAUGACGGCCAUCGGGUUGUAUUCCGCUUUCGCCUGGUACGAAGCGAGAGUGACGGUAAUGGGUGAAGAAGCACCGGCUAACUACGUG